rnacentral:rRNA from 1 species
AGAGUUUGAUCCUGGCUCAGGAUGAACGCUAGCGGGAGGCUUAAUACAUGCAAGUCGAACGGUAAGGUCAGAGCUUGCUCUGAUACACGAGUGGCGAACGGGUGAGUAACGCGUACAUAACCUACCUUAUACUGGGGCACAUACACUGGAAACGGAGUAAAUACCCCAUAGUAUCUACGGAUUAAAGCCUUCGGGCGGUAUAAGAUGGAUGUGCGUACUAUUAGAUAGUUGGUGAGGUAACGGCUCACCAAGGCGACGAUCCCUAGCUGGUCUGAGAGGAUGACCAGCCACACUGGAACUGAGACACGGUCCAGACUCCUACGGGAGGCAGCAGUGGGGAAUAUUGGACAAUGGGCGAAAGCCUGAUCCAGCAAUGCCGCGUGAGUGAUGAAGGCCUUAGGGUUGUAAAGCUCUUUUACCAGGGAUGAUAAUGACAGUACCUGGAGAAUAAGCUCCGGCUAACUCCGUGCCAGCAGCCGCGGUAAUACGGAGGAUGCAAGCGUUAUCCGGAAUCACUGGGCGUAAAGCGUCUGUAGGUGGCUUAGAAAGUCCGCUGUUAAAUCUUAGGGCUCAACCCUAAGCCAGCAGUAGAAACUUCUAGGCUAGAGUAUGGUAGGGGCAGAGGGAAUUCCCAGUGUAGCGGUGAAAUGCGUAGAUAUUGGGAAGAACACCAGAGGCGAAAGCGCUCUGCUAGGCCAUUACUGACACUCAGAGACGAAAGCUAGGGGAGCAAAUGGGAUUAGAUACCCCAGUAGUCCUAGCCGUAAACGAUGGAUACUAGAUGUUGCGCGUAUCGAUCCGUGCAGUAUCGUAGCUAACGCGUUAAGUAUCCCGCCUGGGGAGUAUGCUCGCAAGAGUGAAACUCAAAGGAAUUGACGGGGGCCCGCACAAGCGGUGGAGCAUGUGGUUUAAUUCGAUGCAACGCGAAGAACCUUACCUACCCUUGACAUCCUCAGAACUUGUAAGAGAUUACUUGGUGCCCUCGGGAACUGAGU